ACUUCAAAAAGGGUACUGAUGUUUUUUUACAACUCUUAAUCGUUAUCUUAUAUUUGCAAAUAUUACAUUUUUUUUAGUCUACUCCAUUAUUUCCUCCAUCAUCCAUUUAUGAACAUCAAGUAAAGGAAGAUGAUCUCUUAGUUUACACCGUCAAACAGUUGUCCAGUCCUCAGAAUCCUUCAGCUCCAACUGUCCUGGCACCUGUUCAUCCCCCCAUUAUUCAUGUCUAUUCUAGAAGAUUAGAGACUCUUGACUGAAAACCUCCACUAGCCUAUUCAUAGAAAGAUCCAAUCCCCUCUACUGAUCCUUGGUUUGACCUCGAUCUUCUCAUUGCUCUUUGCAAAGGUACGCAUAUAUGUACCUAUUCUAUUGACCUCGAUCCUCGUUGUUUUGUUACUUCAUUUGACUCUAAAAAAUUCCUAAAAUUGUUGUUGAGGUCUUAUCUCAAGCAGGCUAGUAUGAUUUUAUAGGCCUUUAUGCAGAUG
rnacentral:misc_RNA from 1 species